AGGGGAAUUUCAGCAGAGUUGGAAACCAUAAAAUGGAGUCAAAUACAAAUGUUAAAAAAUGCAAUGUCAGAGAUAUAAAAUUUUUUUGUCAGACUCAUCAGCCAAUUGGACAAGGCUGCAGAGAGCAUGAGUGGACUUGUAUAUAGGCCAAUAGAAAUUAUCCAAAAAGAGAAGAAAGAGUAAAGAAAAAAAAUGCCAGAGUGAAUCAUCCAAGAAUUGUGAUACAAUAUCAAGUUGUCUAAUAUGUGUGUACUUGGAUUUUCAGAAGGAGAGGACAAGGCAUCAAUUGUAUUAAUGAUAAUAAAAUGAUUAAAAGACAGAGUGGGAUCUUUCAUUUCUGACGAAGUAGCACACCAGUACUCUGACCCUUACACUGAAGAUGACUAAAAAUGCUAGAUAAUAUUUGAGAAACAUCUUAUUAAAUAUAUGAAUGAACUGAUUAACAAGAAUAUUAGACAAAAGACUAAGUAUCAAAAGACUAUAUACCAAGAGAUACAUAGAAUAUAUUUUGCUUUUAAAAGGUUUUUAAACUUUUAAAUAUAUAUAUAUAUACACAUAUG
rnacentral:sRNA from 1 species